UCUCUAUAUCCGCCCAAAACUGAUUCUCCCUCUCUCUCUCUCAAUCAUCCCAUUUUCAAAGCCUUAGCAUUUUCUCUCUCUCGCUAUCUCAAUGAACUUGGAAAAGUAAAGAAGGGCCUGCACAAGCCCAUGAGCAGGGGCUGUAAAUGUGGAGUGUUUUUGUGUUGAUUCUGUAUUGGGUUCCUACGGGCUUUUGCAUGGGUGUUGCCCAUUUUCAGAGAAUCCAUGCCAAAUGUAAACCUGAAACCUGAAAAGAUGUGAUCUCUAGCAAAGGCCCUUCCAGAAUCUUCAAGGCCCUUUGAUGAUGGGCUGUAUAGAGCACUUGAUAUCUAUUUCAAGGUUAUCUACAGUGGGGCCAACUGAUUUUCGUAUGUUCCACAUCCUCAUCUGCAUGUGAAGAUGUACACGAAGUUCUUGGGAGAUCCGUAAAUGGUACAACAUAUGCAGGAAUCCGGGCCCGAACGACAGGAGCUCCACAGAACCAUUGGUCUGCUUGUGGAGCUCCCUUUAUCUUUUAUCAUUGUAGGACUGUAAAUUCCUUGAUGAGAGCUGGCCGCCAAAGUUUACAGUCAUUGUGGCUCAAAAAACUUAAAGAAAAGGCAGCUUUCCAAAGUUCCCUUGGGUGAAUGUAUGGGAUCCUUACAAGCUCUUGGUUAUAAGCUCCAAUGUUUUCAAAGAAGAAAUAGGAGGUGCAUAGUGGAUUUUUGCAACUGUGUUUCUACAACUAUGUUUGGUUUAGAAAUGUAUGAAAAAGCCUGAAAUCAGUAGCUUUUUUUGUUUUCUUUAGCGAUGGAAAGUGGCAUUUAAUGGUUUGCUGGUGUCAUCCAAUCUAGGCGACUGUUUGGGCAUGGUCCAUUCAUAUGAUCAAUGGUCUAGAUUGCUGCACUGUAGUCCACACUGGUAGGAACUCAGGGCUUGAGGACUCUAAACUUAUCUGUGAGCUGAAGAUAUCAUAUGGUUUUCUGAAAGUUAUUUAAGGGGCUACUCAGAAUUCAAUCAAGGUUGCCCAGUGGAUGCUAGUGCUACAAAUUCCUGGUGUGACCAGCCAUAUGUGUUGCAUUAGGAAUCUUUUGGGUAUUAUAGAUGGAUGAGAGGACUCUUGAUUUGUUACUUGGUUCAUACCAUUACAAAAUACAAACUGAGAUUUUGCCUUCACAAUAGAAAAGUGAUCUUCAAACAACAAAAGUAUUAAAGAAAACGUAAGGAUUAUGCACUUGUGUUUGAAUUUUGAUUUUUACCUUUCUGAUUCAGAAAAGCUCUAAUCAGUAUUUUCAGAUUUAAGGAAUUGUUUGAUACACCUUUUCACAAUAUACUUAAGUUUUCAAUUUUGUCUACUUGGACCCAUGGUCCAGUAAUCCACAUUCCCACUAUGGAUGGACUAUGCCCCAAACAUUUCCCAGAGUGGAAGUCCCCAAAGACUAAUCUUGGGACAUUCCAACAAGCAUCUUGGAAUUCCAGAAGCAGAGUAUCAUGCCAUUGUAAAGAUGCCAUCAGGUUCGUCAAAGAAUCCUAACCUCUGAAUCGUAGACGCUUGUGGACAGCUAACACAGAAAGAGACAAUGAUGUAGUUGUUGGGUUGAACGAUACCACAUAAAAUCUCUUGACAUCUUUGGACAGGAAUGAAGCGGAAAUAUCUCCGUC